AUUUCUUUCUGCUUGGUUGUUUAUUCUUCUGAGCGCUUCGUUGCUAACUUGUGGCCUCCCCUGCCCCCUAUGGACAGGGGGACCUCCGCCUCCGUUCAAGAGUGGAUCUUCUCUCACCCUCUUUUAUGUCGUUUAUAUAUAGAGAUUUUAUUUUUGGCAAGUCCAAAACUUGUAUUGGUGAGGGGAUUUGAUUGUCCUGAACAGCCUUGAAGUGUAGGUUGUUGGUAUGUUUUCUAGGUUUGUGAUAGACAUGGAAGCUUUCUCUGUCGGUGGGUGCUAAUAUGUUUAUGCAUGGUACAGAAACAGUCUGUAUUGCAUGGUGGUGGUUAUUCCAGAGCGCAAUCAAAAGGGUUGGCCCCGAGGGUAUGAAUGGGACGCUAAAGAACCCUCCAUCACUAUUCUCUACUUGGUUGGGUGCUGAUAUGAAGCUUUUAUGAUAGUCUGCGUAAGUGAGAGUUAUUAGGCUUUGGGGUUGUGCUGCAAUGGUGGGCAUAUGGAGAAGGUGAAUCCUGAGGGUAGAAGUGCUAGCAAUUCUUUGAUGGAUUAUGGCUACCCCCUCCAAUUAGAAGAGAGUGAGACGCCAAUAUAGCUCUCUUUUUUCUUAUUUGUUUCUUCCCCCUCGAGUCCUCAUGGCUUUGUAUUGCUAUAGUCUUGUGCUUAAAUGGUUAUUUGAAAAGACCGUAGCAUCUAAACUUGUUGUAAUGUGUAAUAAUUUAACCAUUUGUAGUCUGUAAACCUCUCACUGUAUUGAGCUCCAAGCUCUGUUUUAAAUGAAUUUAAUCUAUAUUUCGG
rnacentral:misc_RNA from 1 species